UGGGGAAUAUUGGGCAAUGGGGCGCAAGCCUGACCCAGCAACGCCGCGUGAGGGAAGAAGGUUUUCGGAUUGUAAACCUCUGUCGCAGAAGACGAAGGAAGUGACGGUAAUCUGUGAGGAAGCCCCGGCUAACUACGUGCCAGCAGCCGCGGUAAUACGUAGGGGGCGAGCGUUGUCCGGAAUUACUGGGCGUAAAGGGAGCGUAGGCGGUUAAUUAAGUUAGAUGUGAAAUACCCGGGCUUAACUUGGGGGCUGCAUCCAAUACUGCAGGACUUGAGUGCAGGAGAGGAAAGCGGAAUUCCUAGUGUAGCGGUGAAAUGCGUAGAUAUUAGGAGGAACACCGGUGGCGAAGGCGGCUUUCUGGACUGUAACUGACGCUGAGGCACGAAAGCGUGGGGAGC
rnacentral:rRNA from 1 species